CAAAAAAAUCAAAUCUAUUAUUUUUUAUUUUAUUUUUAAUAAACAUAAACAUUACACUUCCAGACACACUUAAUCUCUUGAAAAAAAAUGAACAAACAUCUACGCUCAAUCUCAUCUACUCACCACCUUCGACCAUGUUCCUCAAACCCAAAUCAUAAACGGUUCACGCCUCAAAACCAAACCCUUCUUGAACCAAUAACCCAAAUCCGAAAUCGAUUUCAUUUUCCCUUCUUGUCUUAGAUCGCUACUCUUCAAACCCAAAUCGAUUCCAGAUCCUCAAACCCAAAUCGCUUCACGCAUCAAACCGCUCAUCUUCACGCCCUCAGAUCUUGGAUUUCUCUCUUCAGACCUCAAAUCCCAAACCGCUACUAUUCACACACAACUCAGAUCGAUUUCUAUUUCCCAAUCUCACGCGAGCUUUUUGGUGCUGAGUUACAAGACCAAGCCAACAUUUCAGAUUACUUCACUUGGCCAGGGGUAAGCUGCAGCAAUCAUUCAAUGUUGGAGAACCCUGAUCUUGCUCACUA